rnacentral:piRNA from 1 species
UAUUCGUAUUAGUAUUCGUAU